UACGGAGGGAGCUAGCGUUGUUCGGAUUUACUGGGCGUAAAGGGCGCGUAGGCGGCCACCGCAAGUCAAUUGUGAAAUCUCCGGGCUUAACUCGGAAAGGUCAACUGAUACUGCGGGGCUAGAGUGCGGGAAGGGGCAACUGGAAUUCUCGGUGUAGCGGUGAAAUGCGCAGAUAUCAGGAGGAACACCGAUGGCGAAGGCAGCUCGCUGGGACGGUACUGACACUGAGGCGCGAAAGCGUGGGGAGCAAACAGG
rnacentral:rRNA from 1 species